UAACGACUCUCGGCAACGGAUAUCUCGGCUCUCGCAUCGAUGAAGAACGUAGCGAAAUGCGAUACUUGGUGUGAAUUGCAGAAUCCCGUGAACCAUCGAGUCUUUGAACGCAAGUUGCGCCCCAAGCCUUUAAGGCCGAGGGCACGUCUGCCUGGGUGUCACG
rnacentral:rRNA from 1 species